rnacentral:rRNA from 1 species
CCUACGGGUGGCAGCAGUAGGGAAUUUUCGUCAAUGGGCGCAAGCCUGAACGAGCAAUGCCGCGUGAACGAGGAAGGUCUUCGGAUCGUAAAGUUCUGUUGAACGGGAAAAAGAACGGAGAGAGGAAAUGCUUUCUGAUUGAUAUUACCCUUCGAGGACGUCACGGUUAACUACGUGCCAGCAGCCGCGGUAAUACGUAGGUGGCGAGCGUUAUCCGGAUUGAUUGGGUUAAAAGGGUGCGUAGGCGGAAUGCCAAGUCAGCGGUAAAAUCGCGGGGCUCAACCUCGCGGCGCCGUUGAGACUGGCGUUCUUGAGUGGGCGAGAAGUAUGCGGAAUGCGUGGUGUAGCGGUGAAAUGCAUAGAUAUCACGCAGAACUCCGAUUGCGAAGGCAGCAUACCGGCGCCGAACGGACGCUGAAGCACGAAAGCGUGGGUAUCGAACAGGAUUAGAUACCCGAGUAGUC